UGGGGAAUAUUGCACAAUGGGGGAAACCCUGAUGCAGUGACGCCGCGUGAAGGAAGAAGUAUCUCGGUAUGUAAACUUCUAUCAGCAGGGAAGAUAAUGACGGUACCUGACUAAGAAGCCCCGGCUAACUACGUGCC
rnacentral:rRNA from 1 species